UCUCCAUUUCACGCACUAUCUCACCGGGGUCAGAGAGGCGAGAGAGUGUGUGAAAUGGAGAGA
rnacentral:pre_miRNA from 1 species